rnacentral:rRNA from 1 species
UACUUACGGGGGGCAGCAGUGGGGGAUAUUGCACAAUGGGGGAAACCCUGAUGCAGCGACGCCGCGUGGGUGAAGAAGCGCCUCGGCGCGUAAAGCCCUAUCGGCAGGGAAGAAGAUGACGGUACCUGACCAAGAAGCCCCGGCUAACUACGUGCCAGCAGCCGCGGUAAUACGUAGGGGGCAAGCGUUAUCCGGAUUUACUGGGUGUAAAGGGGGCGCAGACGGCAAUGCAAGCCAGGAGUGAAAGCCCGGGGCCCAACCCCGGGACUGCUCUUGGAACUGUAUGG